AAGACUAUACUUUCAGGGAUCAUUUCUAUAGUUUGUUACUAGAGAAGUUCCUCUGAUUGUGUAGAGCACCCGAAACCAUGACGAUGAUACAGAGCACCUUCUCAUGAGCAUGAAGUUGGCCCUCAGUGUUGCUUCUGCAUCAGUCUUUGGCCUUUGAUGAUCGUUCUUGCCUCUCUUAAGGGAGGGGAGAGGGAGAGGGUGUGCUCUGAGUGGU
rfam:Erinaceus europaeus unplaced genomic scaffold scaffold00155, whole genome shotgun sequence